AGGCACAUACCACACCACCAAGCCUAGCUAAUUUUUGUAUUUUUUGUGGAGAGUGGGUUUCACCAUGUUGCCCAGCCUAGACAGAUUUAUUCUUUACAGUUCUGGAGGUCAGAACUCCAAAAUCAGUUUCACUGGGCUAAAGCCAAGGUGUGGGCUGGGCUAGCUCUCCUGGUGCCUCCAGGAGAGAAUCUCUUCCUUGCCUUUUCCAAUUUCUGGAGGUUGCCUGUGUUUCUCAGCUUGUGACCCCUUGGUGACCUCCAGAAGCUAGAACAGGCAAGAAAACAAUUGCUUCCAUUGUCCCAGCUUCUACUUCCUCCCUUGACCUUCCUGCCUCUGCUCAUGAGGACCCUUGUGAUUCCAUUCCGGUCCACCUGGAUAAUCCAGGCUAAUCCCUCCAUCUCAAGAAGACUCUUAAUUUAUUUAAUCACAUCUGCAAGGACCCUCUGAAUGCUGUCUUGCCUCAACUCAUUUUACAGAUAAGAAAAUCAAGGCUCAGAGAGGUGAAGUCACUGAUCCAAAGUCACACAGCAGGUCAAAAGGAGAUCAUGUUUCCUGCCUGGAGGAGAGGCCCCGGUGGACUGGAAUAGGAGAAAGUGGAGGGGGUGUAUUUCAGGAUAGAAUCCUGCACCCUGCCAGGGACCACGCUUAUCCUUGGCUCACUCAAUAGGAUGCAAGGGCGUUUACUGUGGCCAGGUCUUGUGAGUGCCCAGAGCCCUGUGGCAAGAAGCCUCUGCCAGGGAAAGGGAUGCGGGGAAGUGGAGGCAGUGAUGGGGAAGCAGAGCCAGGAGAGACCCUUGGGCUUCCUUCCUUCAAGGCCUCUGGUCUCUAGCAGAGAGAAGAGAGGGAGCAGGUGAGAGCCCCACUUAGCUCUAGGCAAUAUUUUUUUUUCAGACAGGAUCCCACUCUGUCACCCAGGCUGGAGUGCAGUGGCACAAUCAUGACUCACUGCAGCCUCAACCUCCCAAGCUCAAGCAACGCUCCCAUCUCAGCCUCCCAAGCUCAAGCACCGCUCCCAUCUCAGCCUCCCAAGUUGCUUGGACUACAGGUGCACGCUAUCACGCCCAGCUAAUUUUUGUAUUUUUUGUAGAGAUGGGUUUUUGCCAUGUUGUUCAGGCUGCUCUUGAACUCCUGAGUUAAGUGAUCUGCCUUGCCUACCUUGGCCUCCCAAAGUGCUGGGAUUACAGGCAUGAGCCACUGCGUGCAGCCGAGCCAAACCUCAUUCUAGAUUCCAUCUCCAGGAAUAAUGAUGUGGGACCCACCACACAGCCCCCAUAGUCUGGCAAGUGAGACAGACAUUGAACCCACUCUAAAGAAGGGUCUCAUUAUCCCAAGAAAAAGACCACUUUGACCACAAGUCAAAGCUCUGGGAACCAACAUUUCUUAGUAAUUGGGAAAAAAAUGUUUAAUUGGAAUUUUGUUUUGAAAAAUGAAAUUUAAACUAUGAAAAUAUACACAUUUUAUCUUCCACAAACAACAUUUAGGUUAAUAUGCUAAUUCUUAGAUUAAUGUGCUAAUACUUAGUGUUAUGGUUUGACUGUCCCCUCCAAAACUUAUGAUGAAAUUUAUUUAUUUAUUUUAUUUUUUUUUUUUUUAGAUGGAGUUUUGUUCUUGUCACCCAGGCUGGAGUGCAAUGGCAUGAUCUCGGCUAAGUGCAACUCCUGCCUCCUGGGUUCAAGCAAUUCUCCUGCCUUAGCCUUUUGAGUAGCUGGGAUUACAAGUGGCCACCCCUAUACCCAGCUAAUUUUUAUAUUUUUAGUAGAGACAAGGUUUCACCAUUUUGGCCACGAUGGUCUUGAACUCCUGACCUCAAGUGAUCUGCCUUCUUUGGCCUCCCAAAGUGCUGGGAUUACAGUGGUGAGCCAUCAUGCCCGGCUGAUUUAUGAUGAAAUUUAAUUGCCAUUGUGAAGGUAUUAAGAGGUGGGACUAUUAAGAAGUGAUUAGGUCAUAAGGGCAAAACCCUCAUGAAUGGAUUAAUCUCUUUAUUGAAGGAGUGAGCUCAUGAUCAAGACACUGGAUUUAUUGUAAAAAUGAGUUCAGCUCUCUCUUGCUCACUGUCUAGUGCUCUCUUGCCCUUCUGCCUUCCACCAUGGGAUGAUACAGCAUGAAGACCCCCACCAGAUGCUGGUGCCAUACUCUUGGACUUCCCAGUCUUCAGAAGCAUGAGCCAAAUAAAUUUCUAUUGUUUACAAAUUACCCAGAGUGGUAUUCUGUUUUAGCAUCAGAAAAUGGAGUAAGACAAUUAGAGUACAAAAAGUUCAUUGGAGUAGGCAUAGUUCUUCCCACAAAAUUGCCUGAUGGUCCUUACUAGAACCUUCUGGGUCCUAACAACCAGAAUGCUUCAUCACAUCCCCCUGAGUUCUUUGGGCCACUCUGAGUUCUAUGACAUUCAAAUCAUUUUCUUCCAAAGCACAGGUUCAUCUUUCUUCACGUUGGGGGUUUUCAUUAUUUAGACAGGGCUGACCCAGCCAGAUAGAUAGAUCCUUGGUUUGUCAGCCACUGUGUGCAGAACCCAGGAGCUCUCCAACGUAACUCUCAUCAACUUCAAGAAAUUCUACAACUUUGAAGUUUUCCUUUGCUACCAGCUUGCAUAAGCAGACCUGACAGACAGAAGAGAUGCAGAUGGGGGGUGGACAGAUGCUGGUGCUAGGUAGGGUGAGAUGCUUGACUGGGAACGAAGUAAGUGGCCAGGACAGUACUAAAUAUAUUCAUGUUUUAACAACUCUUAACUUCCAA
rnacentral:lncRNA from 1 species